rnacentral:tRNA from 1 species
GGGCCCUUAGCUCAGUCGGUAGAGCAACUGACUUUUAAUCAGUAGGUCACUGGUUCGAACCCAGUAGGGCUCACCA